GAUGAACGCUGGCGGCGUGCCUAAUACAUGCAAGUCGAGCGAACGGACGAGGAGCUUGCUUCUCUGACGUUAGCGGCGGACGGGUGAGUAACACGUGGAUAACCUACCUAUAAGACUGGGAUAACUUCGGGAAACCGGAGCUAAUACCGGAUAAUAUCUUGAACCGCAUGGUUCAAUAGUAAAAGACGGUCUUGCUGUCACUUAUAGAUGGAUCCGCGCUGCAUUAGCUAGUUGGUAAGGUAACGGCUUACCAAGGCAACGAUGCGUAGCCGACCUGAGAGGGUGAUCGGCCACACUGGAACUGAGACACGGUCCAGACUCCUACGGGAGGCAGCAGUAGGGAAUCUUCCGCAAUGGGCGAAAGCCUGACGGAGCAACGCCGCGUGAGUGAUGAAGGUCUUCGGAUCGUAAAACUCUGUUAUUAGGGAAGAACAUAUGUGUAAGUAACUGUGCACAUCUUGACGGUACCUAAUCAGAAAGCCACGGCUAACUACGUG
rnacentral:rRNA from 1 species